rnacentral:lncRNA from 1 species
GUAACAAUGAAGGCCGGACAACCAUCAGCGGGGACGAGAGAGCGUCAGGGGAGAAGGGGCCGGUCUCCCUCCAGACACACACUCGGCAGCAGGCAGGGCCACGGACCACAGUGGACCUACCAGCUUCCGGCAGGAACAACAGCAUACCCAAGAGGGUUGCCAGGCAGAGUUAUCUAACUCAGGGUCCAUGUACAAAGGCAGGGGUCAGGUUGAAGGAGACAGCAGCGGCCACAAGUCCCCCUCAAAGCCAGCCAGCAGCAGGAA